rnacentral:lncRNA from 1 species
GGGCACUCCUGAGAGAGAGGGGGUCUGACGGGGCCAAAUGGACACCAUCUGGAUACAGAGAGUGGUUGUGAUCAGUCAGGCACGGACACGCUCAAUGGCAGCAUUCACUCUCAAACUCUCAAACUGAGAGGCCAUGGGCCAGAACUAAAAUAGCUAAACCUCUAGAGACCUAUAACAGUAGACUUUCACUGUGUGAUGAAUUUUUUUUGUUGUUGUUGUCAAAUGUUCCUACACUCCAAAACAGAAAGAUGAAUGUUCGGAAGCAUUUCAAGCCUUUCAACGGCACAUACUCGUAUGCACUAUGCAGUAAUGAGAAUAAUUUUUAUUAUUUAAAUCAUGUAGAUUUUCAGUAACAUGUCUAUUUUUGUUUAAAUAUAACGUUAGAAACAAAGACGUGUGUACUGUACAGUCGGUCGUCUGUUUACAAUCAGAACAAGUUUGAUUCGGAAAAAUGACUCCUUUGAAUCGGUUCUUUUCAGUGAAUCGGUUGAACCAGUCAAAAUGUUCUUAGCUCCAAGGGAUGAGUUUGAAUUCGUAUCGGAUCUUUUCCAGUGGAAAUGACUCACUCUAAGUUUAGCUGCCUACAAUAACCAUAUAUCCAGAAAGUCUAAUUGCAAAUAAUUCAUUGUUACUUAAUACUAAAUUAAAUUACUCUCUGGAAAACUCUCGUAUCAAACCGCGGACUUGCGCUCUCUUGUUUAAGACAAACGCAAAUGAGGAUUGAAAAACGUAGGCCCUGUUCUCCUGCUGUGUAAACGUAUGUUGACAACAAAACUGUCACCGUAUACAGACAUUGCAUUCUCAAGGAGGGACACUGUAUUCAGCGUGGUGACUGACAGCAGAGGUGAAGGAAGCCUGCAGUGAAUAACAGAGAAGGAAAAUGAACACCCACACAUGAUGGGUCCUCAGGACAUCAGACAGCUGCUAUUAUGUCUGGAGGAUGAAAUAUUAAAGAAGAGCAGAAAAAGAGAUCAAGUUCUAGAUGACCCAAGCGUGAACCUGUCUGUGACCCCACAUCAGCCCGUCUCUUCCUGGCAGACCACUUGCACUCUCGCCAUGGCUGAAUGACAACGUAAGCUGUAACACACUAUAUUCAGACUCAUGUAUUUUUAAU